AGUGAACGCUGGCGGUAGGCCUAACACAUGCAAGUCGAACGGCAGCACAGUAAGAGCUUGCUCUUACGGGUGGCGAGUGGCGGACGGGUGAGGAAUACAUCGGAAUCUACUUUUUCGUGGGGGAUAACGUAGGGAAACUUACGCUAAUACCGCAUACGACCUACGGGUGAAAGCAUGGGAUCUUCGGACCUUGCGCGAUUGAAUGAGCCGAUGUCGGAUUAGCUAGUUGGCGGGGUAAAGGCCCACCUAGGCGACGAUCCGUAGCUGGUCUGAGAGGAUGAUCAGCCACACUGGAACUGAGACACGGUCCAGACUCCUACGGGAGGCAGCAGUGGGGAAUAUUGGACAAUGGGCGCAAGCCUGAUCCAGCCAUACCGCGUGGGUGAAGAAGGCCUUCGGGUUGUAAAGCCCUUUUAUUGGGAAAGAAAAGCAGCAGGUUAAUACCCCGCUGUUCUGACGGUACCCAAAGAAUAAGCACCGGCUAACUUCGUG
rnacentral:rRNA from 1 species